rnacentral:rRNA from 1 species
GACGAACGCUGGCGGCGUGCUUAACACAUGCAAGUCGAACGAUGAAGCUGGAGCUUGCUCCGGUGGAUUAGUGGCGAACGGGUGAGUAACACGUGAGCAAUCUGCCCUUGACUCUGGGAUAACUGCGGGAAACUGUAGCUAAUACCGGAUACUUUCACUGGAAGGCAUCUUCUGGUGAAGAAAGAAUUUCGGUCAAGGAUGAGCUCGCGGCCUAUCAGCUUGUUGGUGAGGUAACGGCUCACCAAGGCGACGACGGGUAGCCGGCCUGAGAGGGUGACCGCCACACUGGGACUGAGACACGGCCCAGACUCCGACGGGAGGCAGCAGUGGGGAAUAUUGCACAAUGGGCGCAAGCCUGAUGCAGCAACGCCGCGUGAGGGAUGAAGGCCUUCGGGUUGUAAACCUCUUUUAGCAGGGAAGAAGCGAAAGUGACGGUACCUGCAGAAAAAGCACCAGCUAACUACGUGCCAGCCGCCGCGGUAA